CCCUCCCCUUCCCCUUCGUCUCUUUCACAGAGAAGCCCCACAGUCCACCACCGGCUGCCAGCGCCCAACGACCACCAAGCUUACACCAGAGCAUCGCCUCCUCCCCCUCAAGACAAACCCACCCUUUGUUUCACUCAAAUCUUACCAGAAUCCCUCAAAUCCUCGAAACCCUAGCCUCCAUCCUCGUUUUCUCUGUUGGCGGCGCCAUCACCAGACGACCUUAAACACCCUUCAGCCCUUUCAUCCUCCACACCCCAAAACUACAGUCCAUCUUCUUCAAAUCCUUGUUAAAGUGCUCGAAUACUAAUUCUAAGGAUUGAGUUCUCGAAGCCAAAGCCCAAGUCGUGCAUACGACGCUUUUUCCAGAGUCCAUGGCACAUUGUCUGCAUGUUGUUCGAUGGAAAUAUAUGCUGGCAUCAUUUUGAGUAUAACUCAUAGACCCAGGGUCCGAGUUCCAGUCAGAUAGUGAGUUCUCUUUCUUUCAUUUAUUAUUUUUUGUUUCUUCUUCUAUUCUGCUUCACUUCAACCUAUUUAUACUUUUCUCUUUUUCGGUUUGAUAGCCAAUCACCUACCCUUCUCCUUCAUUUCUUUUUGUUUGAUUUUCCAAUAUAGAUGUGUUCGAAUUGAUGGUCGUUGUCCGUCUUUGUUUAAAAUCUGCUAUUCAAUUGAAUUAUAGUCAAAGAAUGAAUACUGUGUUAUUUUUUAUCAUGUUUCGUUAUUAGUUAUAAAUUUGGGAUUUUGACCUAAUUAGAUUACAAGAAUGUGCAAGUUCAGUGAAUUUUUUAUAUUCUUUUAGAUUUCUUUUGUUUCUGUUCCCUUGGGCCUGACAGUCCUAUUUAGAGCUUUAAGGUUCGACGACUGAAAAGUCUGAAAAUCAUUGAAUUAGGCUAUACUUUCAGGCCCCUAAAUGAAACAAUGUCUGAGUCAUAGGUUGACCCGACCCUUUCAAGGGAAGUAACAGGGUCACGGGGAUUAAUUCUUUAAACUAUGAAGGGUAGUUUAGGGAAUAAAAUAACAGGAAUAAUGUAAUUUAUAAAAGAUAAGGCUGGGAGAGGUCAAAAAAAUUCUCCCCAAAGUAUGCUCUCUAAAUUUUUUAUCUAAGAUCCGAAAUUCAAGCUCCACAGCCCCAAAAAUAGUAGAAAAUUUCAAAAAACAAAAAAAAAAUAACAAAGCAACAGAAAAUCACAAAAAUCACUAUUACAUUAGGUUGCGUGUCAGUUUUCGUAGUAAUCAAGAGGCUUCAAAGUUUCUGUGUUGAAUUUGAAGUGAAAAUUUCCUGUUUAAAUUGAAUUCUGGUAACAUCGAGUCUAUUUUCACAGGUUUUUCUCAUCUCUUGAAUUGCUGGUUUAUUUCUGGAUAUUUGAGAAGCCAAUUUGAUUUUAAAGUGAUUUGGUUGUUGCUGUGUUGAGGAGCUCAUUGCUGGUUUUCUGAAAAUACUCCUGAAUCUAUUGAUUGCUGCUGCCUGUUUUAUUAUAACUGACCAUCCUCUUUCUCCUUGUAAUUUCAAUAUCAAGUAAACAUUCGAAAUCAACUUCAUGUAACUCCUAACUUCUUCUUUAAAAAAAGGAUUCCAACAACAAAACUGCUUCCACAACUACGAAAAGCAAGUUUCUAUAUCUCGCAUCUACUUAAAUUGUGUGAAUAUGAGAAUCUCUUUCGUUGAAUUGAAAGAAUUUUCUAUUGAAUGGAAGAUGAUUUUACAUUGCUGCUGCCUGUUUUAUUAUAACUGACCAUCCUCUUUCUCCUUGUAAUUUCAAUAUCAAGUAAACAUUCGAAAUCAACUUCAUGUAACUCCUAACUUCUUCUUUAAAAAAAGGAUUCCAACAACAAAACUGCUUCCACAACUACGAAAAGCAAGUGUUGUUGCUGUUUGACUUUCUAUGAAGCAUCCACUGUCCCAUUGAUUAACUACAGUUACAAAUUAUUUCAGCCUAUUUGAAGCAGGAUGAACGGAUUUGUGUUAUUUUCGAAUUGUGUGAGAUCUAGGCUAUUUCCAUUUGUAUUAACUUUUGUAAUAAGUGGACUUUGUGCCUACUAAUUUCUAAUAUAUGCGAUAAACUGAAGUUCUAGUCUAGUUUCAGUAGUUGCAACAAGUUGAAUAGAGAUGUGUUAGCAAAUAAGGUUAGAUCUCAAAUGUUAAUGGUUACUCACAGCUUUAAAUAUUGAUUUGUUUUCCAGUAAUUGUAAAAGCAAGUUCAAGUAGUUCCGUGUUCUUUGUAACUCAAUUCUGUAGUCCAGUUAGUUUAAAAAUACUACAAUUGCUUGGGUAUUAGAUUAACAGUAGUAGUUAAAUACUGAACUGUAUUGAUUUGGUCCUUUAGCUGAUUCGUAUGUAAACAGAUAAAAUAACCGACUUCAAUUUAUGCUCGUAGUUCACUUUUGAUAAUUUUAUUGGUGUUUUGGUUUUAUUGAACUGUUUAAACACGUUUAAAGUAAAUUUGAAAUAAGUGCAGCCAAUUGGUUUCAUUUGUUCUUGGGCUUCAACUUUUAGCUUACCUGGCAUAAUUCAAUGUAAAAUUGAGUAGGUUAAUUUUUGGAGAUAAAUAAAAAUAGAAAAAUCAUAGUUGCUUUUAGGUUUGCCCAUAAAAUAAAAUGAGACGAGCCUCACCCAAUAAAUACAAAAAUUAUGGGGGCCUCAUUAAAGGUUUAAAAUAUUUAGAAAAUCGUGAAUGGCAGUUUAGUGAAUUUCACGCCCCUCUCAAAAAUAAUAAUGUGAUAGACUCUUUUGAUGCGAUGUUAAUAAAAUUACCUUCUUAAACUAGGGUGUGCAUUUCAUGCGACACAAAUCAAAUCCCAAAACGUUAAAUAAAGUGUGUUUAAGAUUGCGGGUGCAUUUCAUGUGACGCGAUCCGAAGGCACGCUUUAAACAACGUUCGCCUUUCUUUUUAAAAAAUACAUAUGGAAUAAAAGCGGUUAAAAGUAAAAAUUGGCACAUAAGUUUUUCAUGUAAUAAUAUCAGGUAAAUAAGCUAAAUGUGAUAGUUGAGUUACCGUGCUAGAACCACGGAACCCGGGAAUGCCUAAUACCUUUUAUCGGGAUAAUAGAAUUCCUUAUCCGAAUUUUUGGUUCGCGGACUGUUAACAGAGUCAUAUUUUUCUUUGGUUCGGAAUUCAACCGGCCACUUGGGACAUCAUUAAUCUCCCAAGUGGUGACUCUGAAUAAUUAAUAAUAAAUUUCGUUUCGAUUUUUCUUUAAUUGGAAAAAGUCCUUUACUCCCUUGCGAGUGUAGUGUAAAAGGAGGUGUGAGAUCCUCCUUCUGAGGUACCAUUCCUGAGGUUCUAGCCAUAAAUGUAAGAAGGGUUUCCAAAGAAAGAAAAUGAACAGGUAGGCACAAAAAGGAGAUGAAUGUAGAAGAUGGUGAAUUUAGCUUUGAAAACUUGAAGAUAUUGUAAAAGUAUGAAAUGAUAAGUGGUUGAGGUAUUUAUAGAAUUUAUUUGAGCAACCUUUAAGAAACGGAAAAGUCGAACCAAAAAUGGUUCGCGGGCUUUUUGAUAGUUGUGUUAAUAGCGACCCCUACGCAAUCUUUAAGUCAUGCCAUUUAAUGCGCUGAUGGGCUGACGUCAUGAUAGUAGUAUCGGAGAGGCAAGAAUUCAAAACUAUUUCUUAUUAUUUUUAUUCUAAGAAACGCAGGGACUAUCUAUAUACGGUUAAAAUUGGAGAGCCCGAUUUUAUAGUCAUUAUGGCACUUCGUAAGCCUGUCCCUUGAAGUCUCGAGGCUCAGCUCAAGGUUCGACCCCGAGGGUUAUCAAGGUUGGACCCCGAGAGUUCUCAAUGUUCGACCUCAAGGCAGUGAAAAUUGACGGUUAUGAUGGACAAACGGGAAGUUCCCAAGGCACGUUGUUAAAGCUGACCUUGCCUAUUAAGCUAGUACAAGCUUGUAUCGUGGUACUAAAUGGCUGUACCAGUUGCGUAUCUUUGUAAUAAAUAUAUCUGUACUAAGUUG
rnacentral:lncRNA from 1 species